GAGGGUGUAGCUCAAUGGUAGAGCACGUGCCUUUGCAUGCAGGAGGUCCUGGGUUCAAUUCCCAGUAACUCCA
rnacentral:tRNA from 1 species